rnacentral:rRNA from 1 species
CACCGGCGGCUCGAGUGGUGGCCACUUUUAUUGGGUCUAAAGCGUCCGUAGCCGGCUUGGCAAGUCCCCUGGGAAAUCUGGCGGCUUAACCGUCAGGCGUCCAGAGGAUACUGCCAGGCUUGGGACCGGGAGAGGUGAGAGGUACCUCAGGGGUAGGGGUGAAAUCCUGUAAUCCUGAGGGGACCACCGGUGGCGAAGGCGUCUCACUAGAACGGGUCCGACGGUCAGGGACGAAAGCUGGGGGCACGAACCGG